rnacentral:rRNA from 1 species
UACAGAGGGUGCAAGCGUUGCUCGGAAUCAUUGGGCGUAAAGGGUAGGUAGGUGGUCUCAUUUGUCUGGGGUGAAAUCCUUGAGCUUAACUCAAGAAGUGCCCCAGAAACGGUGAGACUGGAGUCCUGGAGAGGGUCGUGGAAUUCCCGGUGUAGCGGUGAAAUGCGUAGAGAUCGGGAGGAACACCAGAGGCGAAGGCGGCUUCUUGGGCCUUUACUGACGCUGAGGCGCGAAAGCCAGGGGAGCGAACGGG